GGUCGCUUUUUUCCGGAUUUUUAGUAGUGUUUGUCAAAAUAUGUGGGAGGAAUCGACAUCAAGAUUGUUGAGAUAUAGCUAGCUGUAGGAGUCUGCUUCACUAGUAAGAACUUUAAGACAACCUCUCCACGGAUUGGAUUAUUUGUAAACAGCAAGCAAGAAUCAGUUGGUGGUGUUUUAGACAAGUAACUCGUUCACCAUCGCACUUAGUGAUAGCUGUAUUAAGGAAAGGAGCUGUUGAUCGACUAAGUGCUUCAAGCUAUUCUUUUUAUGUAAACAAUAUAUUUAGACUGUUGGAGAUUCUUUAUCUAACAUGGCAAAUAUUUUGGCCUUAGUUAGACUUUCUAAAGCUUUGGCAGAGGACAAAUCACUUACUUUGCUACAUAUUUCGAUACCCACUUGGUCAAGAAACAUAUUAAACAAAGGCAAGGUCAUGAAGGUGGAAUAUUUACAGUUGAAGCCCCGCUGCAUGUAUCCAAUGUUCAGGUUGUAGAUCCAGUCACAGGGAAACCAUCAAAGGUCGGAAUUAGAUACCAAGAGGAUGGCUCCAAAGUAAGAGUCUCAAGAGGUAUAGGAGCGUCAGCUGGUCCCAAGGAUACUCCAAUGGAGGUGGUCAUGGAGAGGACAUAUGAUCCAAAAACAGGAAAAGGCAUGCCAGAUCUCUGAGAAAAUUAUCUGUAUUUACACAUCUUAAUGUGAUGAAGGUGGUGCAGAUGCUUGUUACUUGCAUUACUUUUGUGAAAGCUGGCAUAAGAUGGUUAUUUGUUUCAGUAGAAUCUCAAUGUACACUGUUUCGCUUUAGACCAAGAGAAUUUGCUACUCUCAUUAAAAUCGAGUAUGCACCGAGACUU